rnacentral:sRNA from 1 species
GAGAGAGAGAGAGAGAGAGCGCUAGACACAGGUGAAGACAGAAUGAGUCAGAGAAUGAGAAGGAACCAGGAGAUUAGACCAGACUGCCAAAAGUUAGUGUGAGGUCAAGCCGAGCAAUUUAGUCAGAAGCUGAAAGAAGCUGGAUUGAAUCCGUCAGCCUGGAAGAUUAGAUUAGAAGCUUCCAGACCGAGGGUUAGGGAUAGUUAGAACAGAGAAGGAAAAGUCCUAGGCACAGCCCAAACACACAGCUUGGGCAGGGCUCUCCUCACUGCAUCUGAGGAAAUAAAGUGACAUUUACAUCUCUGUUAUACUUUCAGCUACACUAUCAGUAAGGAUAACCCUGGGAGGCACCCUUUUAAGGAUAGCAAUGACUUCUUCAAAUUAGAUACUUGAUUAUGUGGCAGAGCCUAGCAUCUGACUCACUCACCUUUUCAGACUCUAUUUGAAUGAGAAGAAAAUUUCAAUAAUGCUAAGCCCUUGACAGAAUGGUUGUUAUUCAGGGGCUGGUUUUACUUGGAAUCAAGAGAGUGUGUGUGUGUACAAGUAGUUAUGUCGAUGACAGAUGGCCAGGUGUAGAUCCUCUGUGGCUGUCCACUGUGGUGUGUGUGAGUCUGUGUGUGUUUUAAGACAAGGCCUCUCAUUGGCCUGGAGUCACAAAGCAGGAACCCCAGGGACCCAAAUGUCUUCACUCUUCAGUGUCGGCAUUGCAACUGGACACCACUAAUGCAUGGCUAUUUUAUGUUGGUUCUGCAACUGAGUUCAGGUCCUCAAGAUUGAAUGGCAAGUAUUUGCUGACUGAGCUAUUUCUAUACCCAACCCAUUGUUUUUCAGUGUUGUCACAGGGAGCUUCUAAAACAGCACUGGAUAGUGCAAGUGACUGACUCUGCCUCUUGCUGACCACAUGAUCCUGGAACUUUUCUCCUUUCACUGUGUAAGUAUCUAAGAAUGAUGGGAUAUCACUUCUGAGAUGAGAUAUAAAAGCCCGUGCUUUCUGUUUGUCCUGUCUACUUUAACACUUGUACCAUUCCCUGGCAAACUGCUAAUAUUUGAAGCUACCCUAUGGACAAAGCCCACUUGUCAAGCACCCAAGGACAACCUCUAGCCAAUGGCUACGGAGCAAUAAGGCAGCCAGGGAACAGCAUCCUAUUACUAACCACAGAAGCCUUAGGAACUCGAAAGUGAACUUAGCAAGCUGUGGUCCUGCCGAACACACUUUUCCAACAACUCGAUGAAGAUUAGGUGUGAGGACCCAGCCACGCCACACCCAGAUUCCUGCCUUCAGAUAUGUACGAUGUUCACACCCUUCCUUUGCACUUUCAAAGGAAUCAUCUGCUAUGCACAGAGAGAGACAUAACACAGACGUAAAGCUAUAC